AUGCAGCUGACUAGUCCCAAAUAAGACGAAUCACGUGUCCUGGAU
rnacentral:hammerhead_ribozyme from 1 species